UUGGCGGCCUUUCCCCCUAUUAGAGGAACUCGCAUUUUUAUCCGAUAAUCCGCGUUACUUUUCACUUAAAUUCAAAGUCUUUAUAUCGCCGUCUAAAGAUUCAAUUCAAAAAUUCAAUCUCAAAAGACAACUCACCCAAGUCAGGUCGAGAUAAAACCAAUAUUUAAGCAAGCCGAGUUACAAAUAUUUCUUCAAUUAAAAACCUCAAACCAAAAUUUGAAACUUCAGGAUUUAAAAGUAAUCACUUAAUAAUACUCAAUUAUGAAAUCGCAAACAAGGUGUACAUAUCGCCCGUCACCCUCGUCCAAAGAUGGGGUAAGUCGUAACAUAGUUAAUGUACUGGAAAGUGCAUUAAGGG
rnacentral:rRNA from 1 species